CUUUGGAAAAGAAACCAACAGGGAUUGCCCCAGUAACGGCGAGUGAAGCGGCAACAGCUCAAAUUUGAAAUCUGGCCCCCCGGCCCGAGUUGUAAUUUGGAGAGGAUGCUUUUGGCGCGGCGCCGUCCGAGUUCCUUGGAACAGGACGCCACAGAGGGUGAGAGCCCCGUACGGACGGACGCCUAGCCUCUACAAAGCUCCUUCGACGAGUCGAGUAGUUUGGGAAUGCUGCUCAAAAUGGGAGGUAAAUUUCUUCUAAAGCUAAAUACCGGCCAGAGACCGAUAGCGCACAAGUAGAGUGAUCGAAAGAUGAAAAGCACUUUGAAAAGAGGGUUAAAAAGUACGUGAAAUUGUUGAAAGGGAAAGC
rnacentral:rRNA from 1 species